CAGUCGCCGCGGGAAUACGAAGGGGGCUAGCGUUGCUCGGAAUGACUGGGCGUAAAGGGCGCGUAGGCGGCGGCCAAAGUCAGGCGUGAAAUUCCCGGGCUCAACCUGGGGGCUGCGUUUGAUACUUGGUUGCUUGAGUGGGGAAGAGGGUCGUGGAAUUCCCAGUGUAGAGGUGAAAUUCGUAGAUAUUGGGAAGAACACCGGUGGCGAAGGCGGCGACCUGGUCCUUUACUGACGCUGAGGCGCGAAAGCGUGGGGAGCAAACAGGAUUAGAGACCCCCGUAGUCCCUGUCUCUUAUAC
rnacentral:rRNA from 1 species